UACGAGAGGCCCAAACGUUAUUCGGAAUUACUGGGCUUAAAGAGUUCGUAGGCGGCAUGACAAGUCGGGUGUGAAAGCCCUCGGCUCAACCGAGGAAUUGCGCUCUAAACUGUCGUGCUCGAGGAAUCUAGAGGUGAGCGGAACUGAUGGUGGAGCGGUGAAAUGCGUUGAUAUCAUCAGGAACACCGGAGGCGAAGGCGGCUCACUGGGGAUUUUCUGACGCUGAGGAACGAAAGCCAGGGGAGCGAACGGG
rnacentral:rRNA from 1 species